GUCUUAUCCUUUCGCUUUUUAUCUGUUUUUUGCUGUUUAUGUUGUUGAACACUUCUUAUUUUGUUUCUCAAAGCUAUCAGGACUAUUUCGAUUGAAACGGGUUGUCUUGAACAAAAUCUAGAGUCCUGAUACAUCGUUUAGAUAGCUUGAUCACUUAGAUGAAGUUUGAGUUUGGCUAUAUUGCUGGUGCAAAAGGGUUUCUAGUCUCUGUAACCUGAUGUUAAUCUAUUCAUGGCAAAUUUGGCGCAACGAAAAAUAUUGAGAUGCUGAGUUCCAAGGAACAAAGUCAAGUUUAAUAAAUUGGAAUAAUUUAGCUAGCUACUUAUCCUCUUAUAUUCAUGUCAGGAUUAAACUGCUCAAGAUUGAAAUCUGCAUUUCAUUCCUUUAAAAAUUAAGUGCUCAUUUAUGUUGUUAUCUUUUUAGAAUUGAAUGUUAGUAUUUCUUUUUUACUCUGUUGGUGCCUGAUGGUAGCUACUUUUUUGCUCAAAGGACACUCUAUGAAUAGCAGGGUCAUCACACAUAUUGAGGAACCUCUUCUAUUUCUCCUAAGAAUAUGCAAUGGGGAUGCAACUCCCAAGGUUAGGUCUUAACAUGGCCUAGUUCAAGACCUCCUUCACAGUUGCACUAGAAAAAGUAGUUUUGAGUCUAGUUUGAGAGUCUACUCUCAGAUUGGUAAAUCGUGGAGGGACAUAUGAGGUUGACAGCAAUACAUCUUCUUGAGGCUUGAAGUUCUCCAAGAAGCUCCAAUUGAAAAUCAUUCUGGCUGGCUGCUGGGGUUCUCAUGCAUGAGAAAUUGUGAAUCUUCCACCCAUGGUGUGCAAGGUAAAUCACAGAGCUAUGGAUAAGCAAUACAUGGGAAAGCUACUGGUUGGAUUAAGUUGUGAUAUGUCCUUGCUCCCAUAAUCAUGCAUUUACUUCCUAAAUCUAUAACUUCCACUUUUCUGGAGCCUAUUUACUAUUGCACCAAGUAGAAACCAAAUUUGUUUCCAUUUAGAUGACAAUUGCUGCGGAUGAGGCUUGUCAGCCUUUUUAAAGAAACAUAGCCUGGUCGAAUUGAGAAUCUUUCAUCUGUUGAAGGGUUCUAAGUUGGAAAAUGCAAAAAGCUUGAGUAGUAAUCCUCCCACCAAUCCAUCAGAAGUUUGGAUAUAGGAUGUGUAUCUUGUGAUUUAUAG